CGGGGUGCACCAGGCGCGAAAACUCCACAAUGUACGGAAGUACGAUGGGGUUAUCUCGAGUGCAGUCCGAUAAGGGCUGCUUUUCCAUAGAGUAAUAUCCUGUGGGAAUAAGAGGGGGGCAAGACUGGUGUCAGCCGCCGCGGUAACACCAGCCCCUCGAGUGGUGGGGACUAUUAUUUGGCCUAAAGCGUCCGUAGCUGGCUGUAUCCGUCCCCCGUUAAAUCCAGCGUCCUAAGCGUUGGACCGCGGGUGAUACCAUACAGCUAGAGGGUGGGAUAGGUGAGCGGUAUUUCUGGGGUAGGGGCGAAAUCCUUUGAUCCCAGGAGGACCACCAGUGGCGAAGGCUGCUCACUAGAACACGCCUGACGGUCAGGGACGAAAGCUGGGGCAGCGAACCGGAUUAGAUACCCGGGUAGUCCCAGCCGUAAACGAUGCUAGCUAGGUGUUGGGUCGGCCACGCGCCGCCCCAGUGCCGCAGGGAAGCCGUUAAGCUAGCCGCCUGGGGAGUACGGCCGCAAGGCGGAAACUUAAAGGAAUUGGCGGGGGAGCACAAGGGCGAAUU
rnacentral:rRNA from 1 species